UUGGCUACAUUGAAUGGCUUCUGAUAAUGGC
rnacentral:piRNA from 1 species